rfam:Asian citrus Psyllid, Diaphorina citri - Florida Strain, whole genome shotgun sequence.
GCCAUCAGCAAUAGUCCUUUGAUUGCACCAGUUCUCGACGGAUCACUGACGUUAAGCGACGCUGCGCAUGGUUGGUAUCUGAACGAGUGACCUUCUGGCACAAAACGUGCUGGCA